rnacentral:lncRNA from 1 species
GACAUAUUAUGAACAUUUUUUCUGUUUUCAAAAUGGUUAGACAGGAAUUCAUCUGCAAACCGUCAUAGCUUACGGGCACGAGGGUGUACAUCCCACGGACCCUGUACUGAUCAAUACUACAUACAAGAAAGAUGUUAUCGUUCACUCUGUCCGCCUUGGGCGCAUAAAAGUUUUCCCAUAUUCUGGAUGUUCAUACUUAGUCUUGAGUCCAAACCAAAGAAAUUUGAUUAGAUACAAAAAUGUUUUAUCAUAAUCAACGAUAUUUCUUAAUAUGUGUCUAGCUGAUCGAAUAG